UGUCUCCUCCAACACCUCCUAAGGUUUGGAUUCAACCCGCUACCGCAAGGUCAGGCGGGUUUUUUUUG
rfam:Collimonas fungivorans Ter331, complete genome.